rnacentral:rRNA from 1 species
CCUACGGGUGGCAGCAGUGGGGAAUAUUGCGCAAUGGGCGAAAGCCUGACGCAGCGACGCCGCGUGAGGGAUGAAGGUCUUCGGAUCGUAAACCUCUGUCAGCAGGGAAGAACGGUCACUGUGCUAAUCAGCAGUGAAUUGACGGUACCUGCAAAGGAAGCACCGGCUAACUCCGUGCCAGCAGCUGCGGUAAUACGGAGGGUGCGAGCGUUAAUCGGAAUUAUUGGGCGUAAAGCGUGCGUAGGCGGUAUGUCAAGUCAAGGGUGAAAUCCCCGCGCUCAACGUGGGAACUGCCGUUGAAACUGGCAGACUGGAGUGUGUGAGAGGAUAGUGGAAUUCCAGGUGUAGGAGUGAAAUCCGUAGAUAUCUGGAGGAACAUCAGUGGCGAAGGCGACUAUCUGGCACAUAACUGACGCUGAGGAGCGAAAGCGUGGGUAGCAAACAGGAUUAGAUACCCGAGUAGUC